rnacentral:rRNA from 1 species
UACAGAGGUCUCAACCGUUGUUCGGAUUCAUUGGGCGUAAAGGGUGCGUAGGCGGUCGCGCAAGUCGGAUGUGAAAUCUCAGGGCUCAACCCUGAAACUGCAUUCGAUACUGCGUGGCUAGAGUGCUGGAGGGGAGACUGGAAUUUACGGUGUAGCAGUGAAAUGCGUAGAUAUCGUAAGGAAGACCAGUGGCGAAGGCAGGUCUCUGGGCCACUACUGACGCUGAGAAGCGAAAGCAUGGGGAGCGAACAGG